rnacentral:rRNA from 1 species
GACGAACGCUGGCGGCGUGCCUAAUACAUGCAAGACGAGCGGGCCUCCGGAGGUGCUUGCACCUCCGGAAGGCCAGCGGCGGACGGGUGAGUAACACGUGGGCAACCUGCCUUUGAGGCCGGGAUAACACCGGGAAACCGGUGCUAAUACCGGAUACGUCCUCUUUCGCGCCUGCGAGAGGGGAGAAAGACGGUCUUUAAGGCCGUAGCUCAAAGAGGGACCCGCGGGGCAUUAGCUUGUUGGUGGGGUAAGGGCCUACCAAGGCGACGAUGCGUUGCCGCCGUGAGAGGGUGAUCGGACACAAUGGGACUCAGAAACGGCCGAGACUCCUGCGGGAGGCAGCAGUAGGAAAUCAUGCGUAAUGGGCGAAAGCCUGACGGUGCAUCGGCGCGUGAGUGAGGAAGGUUUUCGGAUCGUAAAGCUCUGUUGUGAGGGAAGAACAGCUUCCGGAGGAAAUGCCGGAGGUUUGCCGGUACCUCACGUGAAAGUCCCGGCUAACUACGUGCCAGCCGCCGCAGUAC